AGACGGUUGGCAGCCCAUAUACUCAAACUGGAACGAUACAGAGAAGAUUAGCAUGGCCCCCUGUGCAGGCAUGACAUGCAAAUUCAUGAUGCGUUCCAUACUUUU
ensembl:snRNA U6 U6 spliceosomal RNA